GGGUUGUGAGGUUAAGCGACUAAGCGUACACGGUGGAUGCCCUGGCAGUCAGAGGCGAUGAAGGACGUGCUAAUCUGCGAUAAGCGUCGGUAAGGUGAUAUGAACCGUUAUAACCGGCGAUUUCCGAAUGGGGAAACCCAGUGUGUUUCGACACACUAUCAUUAACUGAAUCCAUAGGUUAAUGAGGCGAACCGGGGGAACUGAAACAUCUAAGUACCCCGAGGAAAAGAAAUCAACCGAGAUUCCCCCAGUAGCGGCGAGCGAACGGGGAGSAGCCCAGAGCCUGAAUCAGUGUGUGUGUUAGUGGAAGCGUCUGGAAAGGCGCGCGAUACAGGGUGACAGCCCCGUACACAAAAAU
rnacentral:rRNA from 1 species